UACGUAGGGUGCAGGCGUUAAUCGGAAUUACUGGGCGUAAAACGUGCGCAGGCGGUUUUGUAAGUCUGUCGUGAAAUCCCCGGGCUCAACCUGGGAAUUGCGAUGGAGACUGCAAGGCUAGAAUCUGGCAGAGGGGGGGUAGAAUUCCACGUGUAGCAGUGAAAUGCGUAGAUAUCAAGAGGAACACCAGUGGCGAAGGCGAGUCCCCUGGACAACACCUGGCACUGAGGCAACGAAAGCUAGGGGGAGCAAACAGG
rnacentral:rRNA from 1 species